UCUCGAAAAAAUAGCACAUUAAAUGCACCAGUUCACAAUGGAUCUCUGAAGUUAAGCAACGUUGUGUAUGGUCAGUAUCCGGAUGGGUGACCAUCUGGACAAACGCUUGUUGUUGGCUU
rfam:Asian citrus Psyllid, Diaphorina citri - Florida Strain, whole genome shotgun sequence.